CAUUUCGAUAUUAAAUCUCUCUGUCAAACCUUCAAAACCCAUUUUAAUCUUCAAUAAAACCUAAUUUAACACUAUUAAGCCUGCCUGCAGUAAUAUCCCCAGGCCUAAUGGUAUUUUCUGUGGCUUUCAUUGGGCUUAUUAAUAGAGAAGUCAUACGCCCAGUGUUAAGCCACCAUUGCCGUAUCAAUUUACCGCACUCGGAAAACACGAAAAACAGAACACCCAGAACCCCAGAAGUUGUAACUCUCACAAUACCAAAAAAAAAAAAAGAAAAGAAAAGAGAGCGGGAAAUGGGAAAAACAUUUUCAUUCAUUCCGAAUGCGAGAACAGGAAUCGAGAGAGCUAAAUAGAAAUUCCGAUGGUGGAAACCAUCAUCAUCAUCAUCGUCGUCAUGUAGCUCAUCCUCAUCCACUUCUUGGAUGUCUUGAGGCUUCUUUUUCGGGCUCUUUUCUCUCGGCGGCGUUGUGAUAUUUAUGUUUUCAUCAAAAGAGCAGGCGAACAAUCAAAAUGCGCUGCACUCGACUCCAGACCAGAGACCCAACGAAAAACACACCGAUGCAGAUGCAGAUACGGAUACGGGUGCGGGUUUGGGUUCGCGCUUGAGUUCGGAUGCGGAUACAGGGACAGAUACAGAUACAGAUGCAAGUGAACUGAACUGAAGUGAAGUGAAGAAACUACAGGCCGACAGACGGCAGCAGGCAGCAGGCAGCGCUUUAACCUCAUAUUUAUCCAACAGAUACUUAUAGCGGAGCGCAAAAAAGCAAGCAGCGACAAAAGAAAUGAAGCCCCCUCAGUCCCCACAGUCCCCAUCACUGAACACAAUGCCUACUUAUUUCUUUUGAAUUAAUUUGUCAUUAAACCAUAUUAAUUA